GAUGAACGCUGGCGGCGUGCCUAAUACAUGCAAGUCGAGCGAACAGACGAGGAGCUUGCUCCUCUGACGUUAGCGGCGGACGGGUGAGUAACACGUGGAUAACCUACCUAUAAGACUGGGAUAACUUCGGGAAACCGGAGCUAAUACCGGAUAAUAUAUUGAACCGCAUGGUUCAAUAGUGAAGGACGGUUUUGCUGUCACUUAUAGAUGGAUCCGCGCCGCAUUAGCUAGUUGGUAAGGUAACGGCUUACCAAGGCGACGAUGCGUAGCCGACCUGAGAGGGUGAUCGGCCACACUGGAACUGAGACACGGUCCAGACUCCUACGGGAGGCAGCAGUAGGGAAUCUUCCGCAAUGGGCGAAAGCCUGACGGAGCAACGCCGCGUGAGUGAUGAAGGUCUUCGGAUCGUAAAACUCUGUUAUUAGGGAAGAACAAAUGUGUAAGUAACUACGCACGUCUUGACGGUACCUAAUCAGAAAGCCACGGCUAACUACGUG
rnacentral:rRNA from 1 species